AUUGAACGCUAGCGGGAUGCUUUACACAUGCAAGUCGAACGAGUGGCGGACGGGUGAGAAAUAUAACGGACAGGGCCCAGGGGCGGGGGAUAACUACUCGAAAGAGAGGCUAAAACCGAAUACUAUUGCAGCGGCCGAUAUCGGAGUGGCUAGUUGGUGGGGUAAAGGCUCACAAAGGCAACGAUCCGUAGCUGGUUUGAGAGGAAGACCAGCCACACUGGGACUGACACACGGCCCAGACGCCUACGGGAGGCAGCAGUGGGGAAUUUUGGACAAUGGGGGAAACCCUGAUCCAGCGAGCCCGCGUGUAGGAGAAGGCCUUCGGGUUUUAAAGUACUUUUGUCAGAGAAGCGGUAUCUGCAGAAUAAGCACCGGCUAACUACGUGCCAGCAGCCGCGGUAAUUC
rnacentral:rRNA from 1 species